CUUUCGGCUUACCACACCUCAAGUUAUUCAAUUCAAGCUUUCACAAUGGCCUGCAAGAUAGCACUAGUAGUCGUGUCUCUAUCGGUGUUAGCAUUCUUCCUAUGCCUUGUAGGUACUGCCGAAGCUCACCCCACGUGCAUGUUCAAGAUCAACCCUUACUAUCAUGGUGGAUGCAAGACAGAUUCUGAGAACGACAAAUGUGGAAUUGCUUGUGCCAGAUUUGAGAGACCAACGUACAUACAUGGUGUAUGCGCUAAUGAACUAUGCUUCUGUUCUAACUGUAAAUGAUCAUCGGACUUUUCCACUGCUGGGGGACCCAUGAAGAUACAUCACCGCCAUGGAAAGAUUAGAGCUCCUAGGAAAAUUGCCUUUUUUUGUUGUUGUAUGAGAAUAAAUUGGCGAUGUAUCUGACUAUGCUUUAGCAAGUAUCUGUUUCCGAUGAGUUA